rnacentral:misc_RNA from 1 species
GGGAGAAAGACCAAGUGCCACCUUUUGGAGUGGUAAUCCAAGGUUUGACCUAUUAACAGAGGGCACAUUUGCAGUGGUAGAGAUGCUUCAAGGCAAGCGGUGGGUUCCAGUUUAUGACGAUGAUGAUUUCAGCUUGUAUUUCAAGUGGAAAUUGGAUAAUAUUACCUUUUCUAGCUUAGCAACCAUCGAGUGGGAGGUGCCAAAGGAAGCUAGCUCUGGAGUUUACCGGCUAAGGCACUUUGGGUCAUUUAAGAAAACAUAUAAAUCCCCUGUCGAAUAUUUUACUGGUGCAUCCAGUGCUUUUACAGUGUCUUAG